GUUGAAGGGCCGCCGGGGGUCUGAUGGGCCGGACACGGGCUUUCCAGGCCCCCGAGGCCACCAGGAACCGAGUGAGGGAUCCAAGCAGAUAAGCUUUCUCUGCGGGGCCUCAUCAGCCUGGUGUCAUACAGAUGGGGGUGCGAGAGGAAGGAUAGGUGUUGGGGUGAACCACCCGCUGAGGGCUGUGGCCAGCAAUCACACAACCCCUCCCGGCCGUUCUCAGGCCUCCUCGCCCUCUCUUCCCGAGAUUGGCAAGUGCACACGUCGGAA